UCUUGAUGGGCUAUACGAAAC
rnacentral:piRNA from 1 species